CCCCAUGCGCGGCCGACGCGGAACCGGGGACCCAUCACGUCCUCAUCGGGGUGAAUCGGCCUGCCCGCGGGCCGUAGGGCGGCUUCCACGCCCGAACCCGUCAGCUAACCCGGUAGGCGGCAUGGAAGUCGAGGA
rnacentral:sRNA from 1 species